rnacentral:misc_RNA from 1 species
GAAAUGCGAUAAGUAAUGUGAAUUGCAGAAUUCAGUGAAUCAUCGAAUCUUUGAACGCAGCUUGCGCUCCUUGGUAUUCCUUGGAGCAUGCCUGUUUGAGUAUCAUGAAAUCUUCAAAGUAAAUCUUUUGUUAACUCAAUUGGUUUCUACUUUGGUAUUGGAGGUCUUUGCAGCUUCACACCUGCUCCUCUUUGUUCAUUAGCUGGAUCUCAGUGUUAUGCUUGGUUCCACUCGGCGUGAUAAGUUAUCUAUCGCUGAGGACACUGUAAAAGGUGGCCAAGGUAAAUGCAGAUGAACCGCUUCUAAUAGUCCAUUGACUUGGACAAUACUUUUAUGAUCUGAUCUCAAAUCAGGUAGGACUACCCACUGAACUUAAGC